UGUUGCUUCUUCAAAUGGAUUACCACUUGGGGAUACCUUUCACUGAUGUCGUUAAUCACUUCCUUGAAGUCGUCAGCCUUGAGUUUUCCCGUGUUGUUCUUGUCCGCCUUGCUGAAGAUGGCUGCGAUGUCUUCCUGGGAGUCGAGACAAGUAGUUGGGACUAAGUAAAAGCUGCAAGAAUUUCGAUUUCCUACUGGUAAAGUUGAUUACAGAGAGCACAAACCUGCCCAAUCUGCUUCAUGAAAUCCAUCACAACAGGGCGAGUUCCAAUACCAGUCGACCAGACAACCAUCCCAUAUGAAUGUGGUCUCCAGCCUCAAGAAGAGUGAUUGUGACGUAGUUCUUGAGAUUUGGGUAAAGCUUUGCUAAAUCCUCAAUAACAAAGUCGUGAAGCUCAGCAGCAAACUCCACCCCUGUCGGGCCUCCUCCCACCACUACGAAAUGCAGAAUCCUCUUCCUUUCCUCUUCACUUAUGCUCGGAAACAACAUACAUAUAGCAGAUGAGUCAUCACAACAUACAUAUAGCAGAUGAGUCAUCAAACUUUUGCUGCAUAAUAUAUUGAUGGAGUUCCUUCACAUGUGUGUGGGGCAACUCACCUUUCUGACGAUGUUACGGAUGGGCUCGACGAUGCUGCGGGCUUCCACGGUGCCAUUGGUGACACUCGGCAGCAAAGGAGUGAAGGCGAAGUAGUUUCUGGGAGAGACAACCUCAACAUCAAGAGAAGGAUCUUUCAAGCUUUUGAGGAAGCUAGUGCCAGCCCAACCAGUUCCCAGCACCACCACUUUCUUCUUCUUGAUGUCGGGCACGCCGGCGUCGGCGUACGCAGUUCUCCACGGGCUGUUGUUUGAGAAUGCCACCAGCCCUCCACCACUGCACAACAGGCGACAAAAGCUCCAGAUUAUGUAAAAUAGAUUUUGAACAACACAUUUCCCCCCUUACUUUAACAAUAUCAAUACAUUACAUAGCAGCAUAUAUUGGAAUGUUUUUGUAUUUUUAUA